AAAGGAGUCCGGGAAGGUACAGCUUCUGUUUCUUUCCUUCAGAGGAGGAAAUGACUUCGUAUGGCUAGCUGACCAGGAGUUAGUGCUCACCCUGCCUCUUGCCAGGACCCAGAACGAGGACCUGGAGCAUACCCAGAUGAGGAUCAGAACGCAGCUUCAGCUCCUCCAACAAAUGAAACUGACAGAAUGAAACCUGAGAAACUUUAGCAACCAAAGAAAGCAGCCUUCCAAGGAUCAAGCUCGAUGCAAAUUAAUCCUUGAACUUGGAAGUCACAUUUGAAGAUGGAGGAGCCACAUACAGCAUAGAAAAAGUAUCUGAAUCAUUGCCCUGAGAAAAGUUAAAACAAGUUUUGGACUUGAUGAAAAAGAAAACAAACUUCUGUUGUGUUUAAACCAUUAUUCAUUUUGAGAUUUUAUUGUUACAAGAGCUUGUAUUGUAACUAAUAUAUUAUAGUUAUAGUUUUAACUCUUCCAAAUUGACUAAAAUAAAUUGACUAUGGAUUGGCUGACCAUGCUGGGUCAGGAAAGGUCCAGCCAUUCCUUCAAUACUGUCAAAAAGUCAUUGGACAAUCUGAGGAGCAUAUGCAACUUCUAAAUAGCUUUCACAACAGGGAUCAGGAUCUGAAUCCUUGUUCUCCCCUCCAGUCCUCUCAGGAAGGGCCAAAUGAACAGCAGGCAACAUGCAA